rnacentral:lncRNA from 1 species
AUUGCUAUCACGUUGGCGUCGUCGUCGUCGUCCGAAUACUUUUAGUUUUCGCACUCUAACUUUAAUAAAAGUGAAUAGAAAUCUAUGAAAUUUUAACACAAGGUUUAUGACCACAAAAGGAAGGUUGGGAUUGAUUUUGGGAGUUUUGGUCCCAACAUUUUAGGAAUUAGGGGCCAAAAAGGGCCCAAAUAAGCAUUUUCUUGAUUUUUCGCACUACAACUUUAGUUUAAGUAAAUUUAAAUCUAUGAAAUUUUGACACAAGGUUUAUGACCACAAAAGGAAGGUUGGGAUUGAUUUUGGGAGUUUUGGUUCCAACAGUUUAGGAAUUAGGGGCAAAAAAAGAGCCCAAAUAAGCAUUAUUCUUGGUUUUCGUACAAUAACUUUAGUAUAAGUAAAUAGAAAUCAAUGAAAUUUAAACACAAGGUUUAUGAACACAAAAGGAAGGUUGGGAUUGAUUUUGGGAGUUUUGGUCCCAACAGUUUAGGAAUUAGGACCCAAAUAAGCAUUAUUCUUGGUUUUCGCACCAUAACUUUAGUAUAAGUAAAUAGAAAUCUAUGAAAUUUAAACACAAGGUUUAUGACCAUAAAAGAAAGGUUGGGUUUGAUUUUGGGAGUUUUGGUCCCAACAGUUUAGGAAUAAGGGGCCCAAAGGGUCCAAAAUUGAACUUUGUUUGAUUUCAUCAAAAAUUGAAUAAUUGGGGUUCUUUGAUAUGCCGAAUCUAACUGUGUAUGUAGAUACUUAAUUUUUGGUUCCGUUUUCAAAUUGGUCUACAUUAAGGUCCAAAGGGUCCAAAAUUAAACUUAGUUUGAUUUUAACAAAAAUUGAAUCCUUGGGGUUCUUUGAUAUGCUGAAUCUAAAAAUGUACUUAGAUUUUUGAUUAUUGGCCCAGUUUUCAAGUUGGUCCAAAUCGGG